GAUGAACGCUGGCGGCGUGCUUAACACAUGCAAGUCGAGCGAGAAGUUUUGAAAAGAUUCUUCGGAUGAAAUUUAAAAUGGAAAGCGGCGGACGGGUGAGUAACGCGUAGGCAACCUGCCCCAUACAAAGGGAUAGCAUUUGGAAACGAAUAUUAAUACCUUAUGAAACUUAACUAGUGCAUGCUAGGUAGGUCAAAGAUUUAUCGGUAUGGGAUGGGCCUGCGUCUGAUUAGCUAGUUGGUGAGGUAACGGCUCACCAAGGCGACGAUCAGUAGCCGACCUGAGAGGGUGAACGGCCAAAUUGGAACUGAGACACGGUCCAAACUCCUACGGGAGGCAGCAGUGGGGAAUAUUGCACAAUGGGGGAAACCCUGAUGCAGCAACGCCGCGUGAACGAUGAAGGCCUUUGGGUCGUAAAGUUCUGUUCUAGGUGAUGAAAACUGACAGUAACCUAGGAGAAAGCCCCGGCUAACUCCGUG
rnacentral:rRNA from 1 species